GGAGAGGUGGCUCAGAGGUUAAGAGCACUGGCUGCUCUUCCAGAGGUCCUGAGUUCAAUUCCCAGCAACCNCA
rnacentral:tRNA from 1 species